UGAAAAAUCCUUUCCUUCCCGUCGGACCCGUCGUCCAGGCUCCGACGUCGUCAACCCUAUUUUUUUGUUCCCCGUAUUUUUCGCCGCGUGCCCAUCAAAUCCAUCACGCGUGCCGGUCAAAUCCCGCAACUUUCGCCGAACCGCCCCUCCCUUUUUCCUCCUCUUUUUCCUUCUCCUUUUUCCCUUCUUUUCUCUCUUUUCCUUUCUCCUUCUUUCUCCUUCCUCCUUUCUCUCUCUCUCCUUC
rnacentral:lncRNA from 1 species